rnacentral:misc_RNA from 1 species
UGGCUCUAGCAUCGAUGAAGAACGCAGCGAAACGCGAUAUGUAGUGUGAAUUGCAGAAUUCAGUGAAUCAUCGAAUCUUUGAACGCACAUUGCGCCCCCCGGCAUCCCGGGGGGCAUGCCUGUCCGAGCGUCGUUUCGACUCUCGGGCGCCCCCCUAGCGGAGGCGCCCGGUGUUGGGGAGCCGCAGCCGCGGUCCCCUAAAUACAGCGGCGGCCCCAGGCCGGCACGCCCCUUGCGUAGUAGUAACCCUCUCGCAUCGGACGCGGCCGGAGGCCAGCCCCUAAACCCCCCAAUAGUCCGCCUCGCGCGGCACGGUUGACCUCGGAUCAGGUAGGAAUACCCGCUGA